rnacentral:rRNA from 1 species
AUUGAACGCUGGCGGCAGGCCUAACACAUGCAAGUCGAACGGUAACAGGAAGCAGCUUGCUGCUUUGCUGACGAGUGGCGGACGGGUGAGUAAUGUCUGGGAAACUGCCCGAUGGAGGGGGAUAACUACUGGAAACGGUAGCUAAUACCGCAUAACGUCGCAAGACCAAAGAGGGGGACCUUAGGGCCUCUUGCCAUCGGAUGUGCCCAGAUGGGAUUAGCUAGUAGGUGGGGUAACGGCUCACCUAGGCGACGAUCCCUAGCUGGUCUGAGAGGAUGACCAGCCACACUGGAACUGAGACACGGUCCAGACUCCUACGGGAGGGAGCAGUGGGGAAUAUUGCACAAUGGGCGCAAGCCUGAUGCAGCCAUGCCGCGUGUAUGAAGAAGGCCGUCGGGUUGUAAAGUACUUUCAGCGGGGAGGAAGGGAGUAAAGUUAAUACCUUUGCUCAUUGACGUUACCCGCAGAAGAAGCACCGGCUAACUCCGUG